rnacentral:rRNA from 1 species
CUCGUGAAUUCAUCUCCGGGGGUAGAGCACUGUUUCGGCUAGGGGGCCAUCCCGGCUUACCAACCCGAUGCAAACUGCGAAUACCGGAGAAUGUUAUCACGGGAGACACACGGCGGGUGCUAACGUCCGUCGUGAAGAGGGAAACAACCCAGACCGCCAGCUAAGGUCCCAAAGUCAUGGUUAAGUGGGAAACGAUGUGGGAAGGCCCAGACAGCCAGGAUGUUGGCUUAGAAGCAGCCAUCAUUUAAAGAAAGCGUAAUAGCUCACUGGUCGAGUCGGCCUGCGCGGAAGAUGUAACGGGGCUAAACCAUGCACCGAAGCUGCGGCAGCGACGCUGAUGCGUUGUUGGGUAGGGGAGCGUUCUGUAAGCCUG